GGCGACAGUGUUUUUGUGUGCUGCGAUGAAGUUGCUGCUGCUGGGAGAUGAUGAACUGAGAGCUUUGGCAAUCUGGAAAACCACAACAUGAGAGACAUUUGAUUCUGGAAGCUGCUAUGCUAGCCCAAUAUAAAUUUUAAAGUUAUACAUAUUCCCAACAGAAAGCUCUUAUUUACACUGCAUGGCCAGAUAGACUGUGAGUGAGUAACCAUGGCAACACGCUGCUGUGAGCCAGGCUCUGGUGCUGUGCAG